rnacentral:rRNA from 1 species
UACGAAGGGGGCUAGCGUUGCUCGGAAUCACUGGGCGUAAAGCGCACGUAGGCGGCUUACUAAGUCAGGGGUGAAAUCCUGGAGCUCAACUCCAGAACUGCCUUUGAUACUGGUGCUUGAGUCCGGAAGAGGUGAGUGGAACUGCGAGUGUAGAGGUGAAAUUCGUAGAUAUUCGCAAGAACACCAGUGGCGAAGGCGGCUCACUGGUCCGGUACUGACGCUGAGGUGCGAAAGCGUGGGGAGCAAACAGG